GACGAACGCUGGCGGCGUGCUUAACACAUGCAAGUCGAACGGAAAGGCCCUGCUUUUGUGGGGUGCUCGAGUGGCGAACGGGUGAGUAACACGUGAGUAACCUGCCCUUGACUUUGGGAUAACUUCAGGAAACUGGGGCUAAUACCGUAUAGGAGCUCCUGCUGCAUGGUGGGGGUUGGAAAGUUUCGGCGGUUGGGGAUGGACUCGCGGCUUAUCAGCUUGUUGGUGGGGUAGUGGCUUACCAAGGCUUUGACGGGUAGCCGGCCUGAGAGGGUGACCGGGCACAUUGGGACUGAGAUACGGCCCAGACUCCUACGGGAGGCAGCAGUGGGGAAUAUUGCACAAUGGGAGGAAGCCUGAUGCAGCAACGCCGCGUGCGGGAUGACGGCCUUCGGGUUGUAAACCGCUUUCGCCUGUGACGAAGCGUGAGUGACGGUAAUGGGUAAAGAAGCACCGGCUAACUACGUG
rnacentral:rRNA from 1 species